GGCCAUGUUGGUUAACAGAUCCUCAUCUGCUGGACGUCUGGCGAUGAUCUUUAUCGGUUGUCGUCAGUUGCCAGCACGUUUACUUUGAGAAAAUUAGAGUGCUAAAAGCAGGCUCACGCCUAUAUAUAUUGCAUGGAAUAAUGAAAUAAGAUCUCGAUUUUAUUUCGUUGGUUUUAGAAAUUGAGAUAAUGAUUAAUAGGAUCAGAGGGGGGCGUACGUACUGUGGUGUGAGAGGUGAAAUUCUUGGAUCGCCACAGGACGAACAGCAGCGAAGGCGUUCGCCAAGAAUGUUUUCAUUAAUCAAGAACGAAAGUUUGAGGUUCGAAGACGAUUAGAUACCGUCCUAGUUCAAACCAUAAACGUUGCCAACUGCCUUUUAGAUGCGGUUAUUUAUAUGACUCAUCUGGCGGAUCUCGAGAAAUCUAAGUUUUUAGGUUCCGGGGGAAGUAUGGUUGCAAAGCUGAAACUUAAAAGAAUUGACGGAAGGACACACAAGAAGUGGAGCCUGUGGCCUAAUUUGACUCAACACGGGAAACCUUACUCGGCCAGGACACUUUUAGGAUUGACAGAUUGAGAGCUCUUUCUUGAUUAGGUGGGUGGUGGUGCAUGGUCGUUCGUAGUUCGUGGAGCGAUUUGUCUGAUUAAUUUCGAUAACGAACGAGACUCCGGCUUACUAAAUAGUCUAAAGUUCGAAGGGACUUUUCAAGACUUCUUAGCAGGAUAAGUGG
rnacentral:rRNA from 1 species